rnacentral:rRNA from 1 species
UGGGGAAUCUUGCGCAAUGGGCGAAAGCCUGACGCAGCAACGCCGCGUGAGCGAAGAAGGCCUUCGGGUUGUAAAGCUCUGUCAGGGGGAAAGAAGGCACCUGGGUGAAUAGCCCAAGGGCUGACGGUACCCCCAAAGGAAGCCACGGCUAACUACGUGCCAGCAGCCGCGGUAAUACGUAGGUGGCAAGCGUUGUCCGGAAUCAUUGGGCGUAAAGAGCGCGUAGGUGGCUUGUCAGGUCUGAUGUGAAAUUUCGGGGCUCAACCCCGAACCUGCAUCGGAAACCGGCUUGCUAGAGUCUGGGAGAGGAGAGUGGAAUUCCUGGUGUAGCGGUGAAAUGCGUAGAUAUCAGGAGGAACGCCGGUAGCGAAGGCGGCUCUCUGGAACAGUACUGACGCUGAGGCGCGAAAGCUAGGGGAGCGAACAG